CGGACUCUUCCUCAUCAAACCCAUGUACUCCUUCAGGGGGAGAGAGAUGAAGCAGAAGUAUGUUGGGAAGUUGUCCCGUCCAGGCCGACCCCUUCGAGCCUCCCCCAUCCGUGAGACGGUCAGUUCCAUGGCUCCUGCUCCAACCCCCUCCUCCCACAUCAGACCCCUUGAUGGCAGUCGGGCAUACCACAAGAUCAGUUCAGCGUCGACCACCU